rnacentral:rRNA from 1 species
GGUCAAGUAAUGAAGUGCACAUGGUGGAUGCCUUGGCAGUCAGAGGCGAUGAAAGACGUGAUAGCCUGCGAUAAGCGUCGGUGAGGUGGCAAUAUCCUGUGACCCGGCGAUUUCUGAAUGGGGAAACCCAACCAACACAAGUUGGUUAUUACACAGUUUACUGUGUAAGGCAAACCGGGAGAAGUGAAACAUCUCAGUACCCCGAGGAAAAGACAUCAAAUGAGAUUCCGUAAGUAGCGGCGAGCGAACACGGAGGAGCCGAUCAAUUUUACAGUAGCAAAAUGGCGUGGAAAAGCCAACCAUAGUAGGUGAUAGUCCUGUAUGCGAAACUGUUUAAGCGACAUAUUAAGUAGGGCGGAACACGAGAAAUUCUGUCUGAAGAUGGGGGGACCAUCCUCCAAGGCUAAAUACUCCUGACUGACCGAUAGUGAACCAGUACCGUGAGGGAAAGGCGAAAAGAACCCCUGUUAGGGGAGUGAAAUAGAACCUGAAACCGUGUGCAUACAAGCAGUCGGAGCGGACUUGUUCCGUGACGGCGUACCUUUUGUAUAAUGGGUCAGCGACUUAUAUUCUGUAGCAAGGUUAACCGAAUAGGGGAGCCGUAGGGAAACCGAGUCUUAAUAGGGCGAAUGAGUUGCAGGGUAUAGACCCGAAACCGAGUGAUCUAUCCAUGAGCAGGUUGAAAGUGCCGUAACAGGCACCGGAGGACCGAACCCACUGUCGUUGAAAAGCCAGGGGAUGACUUGUGGAUAGGGGUGAAAGGCUAAUCAAACUCGGUGAUAGCUGGUUCUCCCCGAAAGCUAUUUAGGUAGCGCCUCGGACGAACACCAUUGGGGGUAGAGCACUGUUUCGGCUAGGGGGUCAUCCCGACUUACCAAACCGAUGCAAACUCCGAAUACCGAUGAGUGAUAUCCGGGAGACAGACGGCGGGUGCUAACGUCCGUCGUCAAGAGGGAAACAACCCAGACCGCCAGCUAAGGCCCCAAAUUCCUAGUUAAGUGGGAAACGAUGUGGGAAGGCACAGACAGCUAGGAGGUUGGCUUAGAAGCAGCCACCCUUUAAAGAAAGCGUAAUAGCUCACUAGUCGAGUCGGCCUGCGCGGAAGAUGUAACGGGGCUCAAACUAGGAGCCGAAGCUGCGGAUUUAAUUGUUUCAAUUAAGUGGUAGGGGAGCGUUGUGUAAGCCUGUGAAGGUGCACUGUAAGGUGUGCUGGAGGUAUCACAAGAGCGAAUGCUGACGUGAGUAACGACAAAACGGGUGAAAAGCCCGUUCGCCGGAAGACCAAGGGUUCCAGUCCAACGUUAAUCGGGGCUGGGUGAGUCGACCCCUAAGGCGAGGCCGAAAGGCGUAGUCGAUGGGAAAUCGGUUAAUAUUCCGAUACUUGUUUAUGAUGCGAUGGAGGGACGGAGAAGGUUAUGCCAGCCUGGCGAUGGUUGUCCAGGUGGAAGGAUGUAGUUAGACUGAGUAGGCAAAUCCGCUCGGUUAUUAAUGAGAUCUGAUAGCAAGCCAGUUUACUGGCGAAGUGGCAAAUACCCUGCUUCCAGGAAAAGCUUCUAAGCGAUAGUCAUAAACGAAUCGUACCCGAAACCGACACAGGUGGUCAGGUAGAGAAUACCAAGGCGCUUGAGAGAACUCUGCUGAAGGAACUAGGCAAAAUGGUACCGUAACUUCGGGAGAAGGUACGCUGCCGAUGGUGAUGAAACUUGCUUUCUGAGCUGUUGGCAGUCGCAGAUACCAGGCUGCUGCAACUGUUUAUUAAAAACACAGCACUCUGCAAACACGAAAGUGGACGUAUAGGGUGUGAUGCCUGCCCGGUGCUGGAAGGUUAAUUGAUGGGGUUAGCGUAAGCGAAGCUCUUGAUCGAAGCCCCAGUAAACGGCGGCCGUAACUAUAACGGUCCUAAGGUAGCGAAAUUCCUUGUCGGGUAAGUUCCGACCUGCACGAAUGGCAUAAUGAUGGCAGCGCUGUCUCCAGCAGAGACUCAGUGAAAUCGAAAUCGCAGUGAAGAUGCUGUGUACCCGCGGCUAGACGGAAAGACCCCGUGAACCUUUACUACAGCUUUACAUUGAACUUUGACCUAACUUGUGUAGGAUAGGUGGGAGGCUUUGAAGCAGAUACGCCAGUAUUUGUGGAGCCAACCUUGAAAUACCACCCUGGUUAUGUUGGGGUUCUAACUUAGAUAUAACAGUAUCAAGGACAAUGUAUGGUGGGUAGUUUGACUGGGGCGGUCUCCUCCUAAAGAGUAACGGAGGAGUACGAAGGUGCGCUCAGAACGGUCGGAAAUCGUUCAAAGAGUAUAAAGGCAAAAGCGCGCUUAACUGCGAGACCCACAAGUCGAGCAGGUACGAAAGUAGGUCUUAGUGAUCCGGUGGUUCUGUAUGGAAGGGCCAUCGCUCAACGGAUAAAAGGUACUCUGGGGAUAACAGGCUGAUACCGCCCAAGAGUUCAUAUCGACGGCGGUGUUUGGCACCUCGAUGUCGGCUCAUCUCAUCCUGGGGCUGAAGCAGGUCCCAAGGGUAUGGCUGUUCGCCAUUUAAAGAGGUACGCGAGCUGGGUUUAGAACGUCGUGAGACAGUUCGGUCCCUAUCUACCGUGGGCGUUGGAAAUUUGAGAGGAUCUGCUCCUAGUACGAGAGGACCAGAGUGGACGAACCUCUGGUGUUUCGGUUGUCACGCCAGUGGCAUUGCCGAGUAGCUACGUUCGGAUGGGAUAACCGCUGAAAGCAUCUAAGCGGGAAGCCCACCUCAAGAUGAGAUUUCCCUAAGAGCCGUUGUAGACUACGACGUUGAUAGGUUGGGUGUGGAAGUGUAGUGAUACAUGUAGCUAACCAAUACUAAUUGCUCGUUUGGCUUGACCAU